rnacentral:rRNA from 1 species
UACGAAGGGGGGCUAGCGUUGCUCGGAAUCAUUGGGCGUAAAGCGCACGUAGGCGGUUCGUUAUGUCGGAUGUGAAAGCCCUUGGCUUAACCGAGGAAGUGCAUCCGAAACUGGCGAGCUAGAGUACGAAAAGAGGAUCGCGGAAUUCCCCGGUGUAGAGGUGAAAAUUCGUAGAUAUCGGGAGGAACACCGGUGGCGAAGGCGGCGACCUGGUCCGAUACUGACGCUGAGGCGCGAAAACGUGGGGGAGCAAAACAGG